rnacentral:rRNA from 1 species
AGGGUUUGAUCAUGGCUCAGAACGUACGCUGGCGGCACGCCUAACACAUGCAAGUCGAACGCAGUAGCAAUACUGAGUGGCAAACGGGUGAGUAUAAUGUGGGAAUCUGCCUUUUGGUUUGGAAUAACACGGGGAAACCUGUGCUAAUACCGAAUAAGCCUUUACAGGGAAAGUUUUAAUGCCGAAAGAUGAGCCUGCACUUGAUUAGCUAGUUGGUAAGGUAAAAGCUUACCAAGGCAACGAUCAAUAGCUGUUCUUAGAGGAAGACCAGCCACAUUGGGACUGAGACACGGCCCAGACUCCUACGGGAGGCAGCAGUGGGGAAUCUUGCACAAUGGGGGGAAACCCUGAUGCAGCGAUGCCGCGUGAGUGAAGAAGGCCCUUGGGUUGUAAAACUCUUUCGUCGGGGAAGAAAAUGACUGUACCCGAAUAAGAAGGUCCGGCUAACUUCGUGCCAGCCGCCGCGGUAAUAC